AUGCUACUGAAACAUGUACCCAUGGGUGCUUGUCAGCACAAGGUACUUACCCAAAAUCCUGGUCCAUGGAUUUGAAGAAGAAUUUGUAGUUGUGCACAGGUCUGUUGCUGAGGACAUUUUUGAAAUCUGCUAAGGUCACUUUUUCAGGAGGAACAGGCAGUUUCACCAGAUAAGGAGUUUCUUCUUCAUCUAUAUGGUAGAUGAUUUUAGUCUCAGCCAUGAGCAGGGUGAUUUCAGAAAGGGGGGUAAACCCCCCAAAAUGACAAGGUUCUCUCCCUUCUUAUGAGAUGUGGCGGGGAUCAGGUGCAGAAUGCUUGUAAAAUCAUGGAGGAAUGUGAAACCAAAUCUGUAAUUCUUUUCCUCUCUGUCAGUCACUCAAUAGUCUUUCACAAUACACUGUUCCAGGGCUUCUCAAAACAGGAAGGGAUAUGCAGAAUCUGAUCUUGAAAUGCACUGGAAAUGGCUGAGUGCUGGACAUUCUGCUCCCUG